CUCUGUGGUAACACUCAGACCAACCUGUGCACUAGCUCAGUGUGAUUUAUAGUGAAACUUUUGAUCCUCUGAUUAAUUUUAUGUGGAUUUCCUGUGCCUCAGGUCCACUUUUCCUCUGCAGUCCUCAUCAGCCUCCUUCAACCACUCAAUCCAGCAAGCCUCAACGUCUGCCUACCCCACAACCAAUACCCUACUUCAGGACCAAUAUUCUACAAUAAAGUCAAAACUAAACUAUCAACUUCAUGUUGUGUUUACUUCUUUUUGGGUUUGCAACUUUGAAGUUUUUGGCCAUUGUUCCAAAAGGUCCGGUGCACUGCGCAUCUGCUCCAUCCCAGCCCCGGCAGUCCGGAGCCCUCCAGCACAGAUAUGCAGGACUUCUAUUUCUGGCUGAUAGAGAUUACAUGGUUCUGCUGGCUUUUUCAACCUCCAAGAGGCACUGGGACAGUUUGAAGCAAAGUGUGAAGAAGUUAAGAUGAAAGCCGGAACCUCCAAUAUUCAUCAAGGAGUGUUUUUAAACUUUAAUUAGUGUCAAGUCUUGGUGCUAACUUCCAAUCCCUGGAAGUAGUUUUGAGUCUAAUAAUCAUAAUUUUGGUAAUACCAUAAUUUUUCAUUAAUAAACUGAGUGUUCAAUUACAACCUUAAAA